AUUGAACGCUGGCGGCAUGCUUUACACAUGCAAGUCGAACGGUAACAGGCCUUCUUGUGCUGACGAGUGGCGAACGGGUGAGUAAGGCAUCGGAACGUACCCAGAGGUGGGCUAUAACGCAGCGAAAGCUGUGCUAGUACCGCAUGUGAUCUGAGUAUGAAAUCGGGGGUCCGAGCAGCAAUGUUUGGCCUCGCGCCUUUGGAGCGGCCGAUGUGGGUUUAGCUAGUGGGUUGGGUAAAGACCUAGCAAGGGGACGAUCCGUAGCUGGUCUGAUAGGACGACCAGCGACAGUGGGGCUGAGACACGGACCUGAGUACUACGGGAGGGCGCAAUGGGGAAUUUUGGACAAUAGGCGCAAGGAUGAUACAGUGAUGCCGCGUGUGGUGAGAAGACUUUCGGGGUGUGAACCGGUUCUGGCAGGUACGAAGCGGUUUCGGUUGAUACCGGGCGCUAGUGACGGUACCUGCAGAAUAAGCACCGGCUAACUACGUG
rnacentral:rRNA from 1 species